GACAGAGGCCACGAGCGUUAGGCGGAAUCACUGGGCUUAAAGCGUGUGUAGGCGGAGGCGUAAGUGUCUUGUGAAAUCCCACGGCUCAACCGUGGAACUGCUGGGCAUACUGCGUCUCUUGAGCCGGCCAGGGGUCACCGGAACAAGCGGUGGAGCGGUGAAAUGCGUAGAUAUCGCUUGGAACGCCAACGGUGAAAACAGGUGACUGGGGCCGCGCUGACGCUGAGACACGAAAGCCAGGGGAGCGAACGGG
rnacentral:rRNA from 2 species